rnacentral:rRNA from 1 species
GAUGAACGCUAGCGGCAGGCUUAACACAUGCAAGUCGAGGGGCAGCAUGGGACGGAGAUUCGUCGAAGUCCUGAUGGCGACCGGCGCAAGGGUGCGUAACGCGUGAGCAACUUGCCCGUUUCUGGGGAAUAACCGGUGGAAACGCCGACUAAUACCCCAUAGUAUUGAGUUCAGGCAUCUUUACUCAAUUAAAGAAUUUCGGAAACGGAUAGGCUCGCGUGACAUUAGCUAGAUGGCGGGGUAACGGCCCACCAUGGCUACGAUGUCUAGGGGUUCUGAGAGGAAGGUCCCCCACACUGGAACUGAGACACGGUCCAGACUCCUACGGGAGGCAGCAGUGAGGAAUAUUGGGUCAAUGGUCUGACGACUGAACCAGCCAUGCCGCGUGAAGGUCACGGCCCUAUGGGUCUUAAACUUCUUUUGUAAGGGAGCAAUAAGUCUCACGUGUGGGAUGAUGAGAGUACCUUACGAAUAAGCAUCGGCUAACUCCGUGCCAGCAG